rnacentral:rRNA from 1 species
UAGAGUUUGAUCCUGGCUCAGAUUGAACGCUGGCGGAAUGCUUUACACAUGCAAGUCGAACGGUAGAGGGGGCAACCCCUUGAGAGUGGCGAACGGGUGAGUAAUAUAUCGGAACGUGCCCAGUCGUGGGGGAUAACGUAGCGAAAGUUACGCUAAUACCGCAUACGAUCUAAGGAUGAAAGCGGGGGAUCGCAAGACCUCGCGCGACUGGAGCGGCCGAUAUCAGAUUAGGUAGUUGGUAGGGUAAAGGCCUACCAAGCCAACGAUCUGUAGCUGGUCUGAGAGGACGACCAGCCACACUGGAACUGAGACACGGUCCAGACUCCUACGGGAGGCAGCAGUGGGGAAUUUUGGACAAUGGGCGAAAGCCUGAUCCAGCCAUUCCGCGUGCAGGAUGAAGGCCCUCGGGUUGUAAACUGCUUUUGUACAGAACGAAAAGGUUUCUACUAAUACUAGGAGCUCAUGACGGUACUGUAAGAAUAAGCACCGGCUAACUACGUGCCAGCAGCCGCGGUAAUACGUAGGGUGCAAGCGUUGUCCGGAAUUAUUGGGCGUAAAGAGCUCGUAGGUGGUUCGUCACGUCGGAUGUGAAACUCUGGGGCUUAACCCCAGACCUGCAUUCGAUACGGGCGAGCUUGAGUAUGGUAGGGGAGUCUGGAAUUCCUGGUGUAGCGGUGGAAUGCGCAGAUAUCAGGAGGAACGCCAAUGGCGAAGGCAGGUCUCUGGGCCAAUACUGACACUGAGGAGCGAAAGUCUGGGGAGCGAACAGGAUUAGAUACCCUGGUAGUCCAGACCGUAAACGGUGGGCACUAGUUGUGGGAACCUUCCACGGUUUCUGCGACGCAGCUAACGCAUUAAGUGCCCCGCCUGGAGAGUACGAUCGCAAGAUUAAAACUCAAAGGAAUUGACGGGGCCCCGCACAAGCAGCGGAGCAUGCGGCUUAAUUCGACGCAACGCGAAGAACCUUACCAAGGCUUGACAUAUAGCGAAAAGUGGCAGAGAUGUCAUGUCCGCAAGGGCGCUAUACAGGUGGUGCAUGGUUGUCGUCAGCUCGUGUCGUGAGAUGUUGGGUUAAGUCCCGCAACGAGCGCAACCCUCGCCCUUAGUUGCCAUCAUUUAGUUGGGCACUCUAGGGGGACUGCCGGUGAUAAGCCGCGAGGAAGGUGGGGAUGACGUCAAGUCCUCAUGGCCCUUACAGGCUGGGCUACACACGUGCUACAAUGGCGGUGACAAUGGGAUGCGAAAGGGCGACCUGGAGCAAAUCUCAAAAAGCCGUCUCAGUUCGGAUUGCACUCUGCAACUCGAGUGCAUGAAGUUGGAAUCGCUAGUAAUCGCAGAUCAGCAUGCUGCGGUGAAUACGUUCCCGGGCCUUGUACACACCGCCCGUCACACCAUGGGAGUUGGUUUUACCCGAAGGCGUUUCGCCAACCGCAAGGAGGCAGGCGACCACGGUAGGGUCAGCGACUGGGGUGAAGUCGUAACAAGGUAACCGUAA